UACGUAGGGGGCAAGCGUUGUCCGGAUUUACUGGGCGUAGAGAGCGUGUAGGCGGCCAAGCAGGUCCGUUGUGAAAACUGGAGGCUUAACCUCCAGACGUCGACGGAAACCGCGUGGCUAGAGUCCGGAAGAGGAGAGUGGAAUUCCUGGUGUAGCGGUGAAAUGCGCAGAUAUCAGGAAGAACACCAAUGGCGAAGGCAGCUCUCUGGGACGGUACUGACGCUGAGACGCGAAAGCGUGGGGAGCGAACAGG
rnacentral:rRNA from 1 species